UUUUCUGACUCCUCUGAGCUGAUAUCCAGAUGAUGUGUGCGGUCAAUUAACCUGGCAUAAACUAUAUUUAAGUCACUGUAGUGAUUCUUCAGACACUUUUCUAUUUGUUUGGUUUUAUAUACACUUUUAAAUAAUUGCCAAACCCCAAAAGACUAUGGGCAUAAAUUGCCUCGGAAAUAGAUUAAAAUAAUUAUUUUUGUUAAUGCGCCUUUUUUAUUUAAAUAUCUAUUAAAGCUAUUUUAAGAGCUUGUGGAAUUCAUAGCAUAGGUUGAAGUGCAACAUAUUUUGUAACAUUUCUGUGGACAACAAACUGUGCAAAAUUGCUUUUAAAAUAUUUUUAACAAUUCAAGUGUUAUUAGGAACAAAGAAGUACUGAUUUUAUAUUUGUGGGCAAAAUAAGUGUUUCCUAUAAAAUAAUAGGCAAAGGAGGAAAAAGAAAAGUGAUUCUUUUUGUUAAGAGGGCAUUUCAGAAGGAUCUACUAAAGCAUAAAUAAAAUUUAUUCAAUCCAGAGAAUUCUCAUUUCCUUUUUGAGAAGAAUUAGGAAGAAGAAAAAGUGUCAUUCAUUUUUUAUCAAGGGGAGAAAAAGCCAUUUUCCAACAAAUUCCAAACAAUUCUAGAUCUGAGAAAAAGAAGAUACCUUUUGAUCCUUGGAAUCAAAGAGAGACAUCUCAGCAAAGCAGCAGGAAUAGAGGAAGAGUUUGGAUGUAGAUCUGAAUCCUGGUUUAUGAACUUUUUCCACCUAGAUCUCAAGGUAGGGAGUAAUGAUUUUUAAAUAAUAGAUGUAAUAUAAGGAAGAAGCAAAGAAUUUCCCUUCCAAGCUGUCACACAUAUGGUCAGGCAGUGACAGAUGAGGGAGGGAACAACUGGGACCUUUUACUUUCUAAUUUUGAUUUUGUAUUAAAACACAGAACAUCAUCUGAAUCUCACCUGCAGAUCUGUACUAAAGGAUGAGCCAGAGACAGGUAACCCAGACUUAAUUCUCAGACAUGUGAAGACUCUCAGGUACUCUUUUAUCACUUGAAUUUAUCUCAAUAUCUGCAAGGGGAAUUAACUAUUGUACAGAUUAUUCAUUCAGAAAAGCACCCAGAGCAUUACACUGUUCUUCAUUUCUGUAAAGAUACCACAUGUAAUUUAGUGAAUAAUUAAGACUCCAAGUGGUCACAACAAGAGAUUGGUCAGGAUGCAGUUUUCCCACCAAUGUAAUUGAUAUCUUUGACCUUAAUUUCAGAUGGAAAGAAGAGGAAGGAAGGCAGAUGCCUGUAUCAUGUAAAAAUUUGCCACUUUCCUUCACUAAUCACCUAAUUUCACAGUAACUACAUCUCCUAUUAUCUACUCUAUUUAUACGGAAUUUCUCAUUGUAGCACAUUACUGCAGUGAAGUGACUCCACCUUGUUCCAAAGCACCAUCCCUG
rnacentral:lncRNA from 1 species